CGCGGCCUAUCAGCUUGUUGGUGAGGUAACGGCUCACCAAGGCAUCGACGGGUAGCUGGUCUGAGAGGAUGAUCAGCCACACUGGGACUGAGACACGGCCCAGACUCCUACGGGAGGCAGCAGUAGGGAAUAUUGCACAAUGGGCGAAAGCCUGAUGCAGCAACGCCGCGUGCGGGAAGAAGGCCCUAGGGUUGUAAACCGCUUUCAGCAGGGAAGAAAAUGACGGUACCUGCAGAAGAAGGUGCGGCCAACUACGUGCCAGCAGCCGCGGUGACACGUAGGCACCAAGCGUUGUCCGGAUUUAUUGGGCGUAAAGAGCUCGUAGGCGGUUCAGUAAGUCGGGUGUGAAAACUCUGGGCUCAACCCAGAGACGCCACUCGAUACUGCUGUGACUCGAGUGCGGUAGGGGAGCGGGGAAUUCCUAGUGUAGCGGUGAAAUGCGCAGAUAUCAGGAGGAACACCAGCGGCGAAGGCGGCACUCUGGGCCGGUACUGACGCUGAGGAGCGAAAGCAUGGGGAGCAAACAGGAUUAGAUACCCUGGUAGUCCAUGCCGUAAACGUUGGGCACUAGGUAUGGGAUCAUAUCAACGGAUUCCGUGCCGUAGCUAACGCAUUAAGUGCCCCGCCUGGGGAGUACGG
rnacentral:rRNA from 1 species